GCCAGCAUGGCACAGUGGUUUGUGUGUUGGACUGCAACUCUGGAGACCAGGGCUCGAUUCCCUUUCAUCCA